UACGUAGGGACCAAGCGUUGUUCGGAUUUACUGGGCGUAAAGGGCGCGUAGGCGGCGCGGUAAGUCACUUGUGAAAUCUCUGAGCUUAACUCAGAACGGCCAAGUGAUACUGCAGUGCUAGAGUGUGGAAGGGGCAAUCGGAAUUCUUGGUGUAGCGGCGAAAUGCGUAGAUAUCAAGAGGAACACCUGAGGUGAAGACGGGUUGCUGGGCCAACACUGACGCUGAUGCGCGAAAGCCAGGGGAGCAAACGGG
rnacentral:rRNA from 1 species